rnacentral:rRNA from 1 species
UACGGAGGGUGCAAGCGUUAUCCGGAAUCACUGGGCGUAAAGGGCGCGUAGGCGGCCUGUUAAGUCCGAUGUUAAAGACUCGGGCUCAACCACAGCAUUGCGUUGGAUACUGGCAGGCUUGACGGUUGGAGAGGCGAGUGGAAUUACCAGUGUAGCGGUGAAAUGCGUAGAUACUGGUAGGAACACCCAUUGCGAAGGCAGCUCGCUGGACAACACGUGACACUGAGGCGCGAAAGUGUGGGGAGCAAACCGGAUUAGAUA